rnacentral:rRNA from 1 species
CCUACGGGAGGCUGCAGUGAGGAAUAUUGGUCAAUGGGCGCGAGCCUGAACCAGCCAAGUAGCGUGAAGGAUGAAUGCCCUACGGGUUGUAAACUUCUUUUGUAAAGGAAUAAAGUGAGGCACGUGUGCCUUUUUGUAUGUACUUUAUGAAUAAGGAUCGGCUAACUCCGUGCCAGCAGCCGCGGUAAUACGGAGGAUCCGAGCGUUAACCGGAUUUAUUGGGUGUAAAGGGAGCGUAGAUGGGUUGUUAAGUCAGUUGUGAAAGUUUGCGGCUCAACCGUAAAAUUGCAAUUGAUACUGGCUGCCUGGAGUACAGUUGAGGUAGGCGGAAUUCGUGGUGUAGCGGUGAAAUGCUUAGAUAUCACGAAGAACACCGAUUGCGAAGGUAGCCUACUAAACUGCCACUGACAUUGAUGCUCGAAAGUGUGGGUAUCAAACAGGAUUAGAUACCCGAGUAGUC